ACGGCAGGGAGAGCAUCGAGCAGCUUACAAAAUGAAAGAUGAUGUAUAUUUCAGACUCAAUCUCCUGAGCAAUCUUGGGAAGCUUGGAUGGAUUACAAUAAUACUUCAGCAAGGCUGCUGAUAUCCAUAAAGAGCUGUCACUAACCAAGCAGGAUAAGAGCUGGAGAGAAUGUUAUUCUUUCCACAUCAGAUUAAUUUGAAGAGCUGAUAUCCUGGAAAGGAUAAGACCUGAAAAUGCUGAUGGAUUAAACUUUUAAAACGCUUUGUAAGUGGAAUGGUCCCUCUGAUGCCAGCAGAGGAAUGAAGAACUUCUCCAGGCUGAUGAGAAAUGGCAUUGCAAAGCUGGAGGAAAUAUUCCUCCCACUGACUGAAGUACAAUGCACUUUAAAGCUUUGACUACUGGUGAAAGAUUCAAGCCUAGAGAAAACCUGUCCACUUGGCAGAGAAAGAUGAGUUGGAUAAUCUUCAUGCCUUCCAAGGGGAAUUUAGAUUCCAUGCUGAGUUUAAUCUCUGUGGCAUACUGGGAGAUUUUCUCCUCCUGAUGCACUGCAUGGUUACUCUGAGAAGAACAUUUGAGAAAUUGGCAAACAAGAUGGUAAUCACUAGCGGAAAUGAAGAAGAAAAAGGAAACCAAGAGAAGGAGAGCAAGGAGGAGUCCAUCCUCGCCCUGCUGGGGAUUAUUGGGACAAUUCUAAACCUCAUUGUGAUCAUUUUUGUGUACAUCUAUACAACGUUGUGAGUUGCUAGGGCAAACUGGUGAUGACAACUGGGAAGAGACACUGGCAAACUUGUUGACUGCUGAUUCACCACUUCCUGAGAAAUGACUCUUUAGUAUAUCAAGUAGUCACAAAAGGAUUGCUUGUGAAUGGUGGAGGCUGAAACACAAUUAACUGAGCCAGAUUUUUGUUCCCUAUAGUUAAAAGAAAACUUUCUCUUUUUUCCACCCCUUUCUCUAUUUUCAUUCGUUCUAGAGAAAUGACUGCAAAUAUGUAAAUCUCUGAUUUGGGAAAAAGCAUUUCAGUUCAGCCAAAGACUGGACACUAUGAUAAUAGUGACAAAUGUAUAGCAUUUCCAUGCCAAAAUAUGUUCCACAGAUAGCAAGGUAGCUGUCUUUUGUGUUUCAUUAGGUCACAUCUUCUCUUUGGGGUUCUAGUUAGGUUGUGGCAAGUGGGCUUUUUAGCUUCAAGUGAACUUGUAUGGUGUAAUCACAUAUGGGAAGCAGGGAGGGAAAGAUGGAUUCUGCUGAGUUACCUGAGCAAACAAAAGAUAAAACUUUGAACAAAGUAAGUAACAACACUUCUUUUUCCUCUUCUCUCGUUAUCUUGACAUCAAUGUCCAUUCAUACCAAUGUUUAUAAAUAUAUAUUUUUAAUAAAUGUGCUAUAUUUUUAGCAUGAGGUAAACCCUUUGGCCAUGUUUACAUUAUUUGAUCAACCUAGAUCUGUUCCAUGAAAUAACUAUUUUUCCCCUGCCUGCCAUCCUUUCCACCACACAUCUUUC